rnacentral:rRNA from 1 species
UUGGUUAAGUUAGAAAGGGCGCACGGUGGAUGCCUUGGCACUAGGAGCCGAAGAAGGACGGGACUAACACCGAUAUGCUUUGGGGAGCUGUACGUAAGCGUUGAUCCAGAGAUUUCCGAAUGGGGGAACCCACUAUCUUUAGUCGGAUAGUAUCCUUACGUGAAUACAUAGCGUGAGGAAGGCAGACCCAGGGAACUGAAACAUCUAAGUACCUGGAGGAAGAGAAAGAAAAAUCGAUUUCCUGAGUAGCGGCGAGCGAAACGGAAAGAGCCCAAACCAAGAAGCUUGCUUCUUGGGGUUGUAGGACACUCUAUACGGAGUUACAAAAGAAAGUUAUAAAUGAAGCGGUCUGGAAAGGCCCGCCAAAGACGGUAACAGCCCGGUAGUUGAAAUGGCUUUCCCUCCAGAGUGGAUCCUGAGUACGGCGGAACACGUGAAAUUCCGUCGGAAUCCGGGAGGACCAUCUCCCAAGGCUAAAUACUCCCUAGUGACCGAUAGUGAACCAGUACCGUGAGGGAAAGGUGAAAAGCACCCCGGAAGGGGAGUGAAACAGUUCCUGAAACCGUGUGCCUACAAGUAGUUAGAGCCCGUUAAUGGGUGAUAGCGUGCCUUUUGUAGAAUGAACCGGCGAGUUACGAUUUGUUGCAAGGUUAAGCGGAAAAAGCGGAGCCGUAGCGAAAGCGAGUCUGAAUAGGGCGCAUAAGUAACAGGUCGUAGACCCGAAACCAGGUGAUCUACCCAUGUCCAGGAUGAAGGUAAGGUAAUACUUACUGGAGGUCCGAACCCACGCACGUUGAAAAGUGCGGGGAUGAGGUGUGGGUAGCGGAGAAAUUCCAAUCGAACU